GUCUUAGCUAGCCAAGAGGUACUGUAAUGGGCUCAAAGAUGCUACUGAUCGAAUGCAACUGAGCUGGCCUUGCUAGUGGCCGAGAAUAACUUCGCUGGCCUUGCUAGUGGCCGAGAAUGACUAGCUGGCCCCGCCAGUGGCCGAAUGGACUUCGCAGUAGCAUCCGAGAGAAUGGACCACGGCAUGCCGGGGGCACGGUUA
rnacentral:lncRNA from 1 species